rnacentral:hammerhead_ribozyme from 1 species
AUCUACGUGAUGAGUCGGAAAUAAGACGAAACGCACGUCCUGGAU